rnacentral:lncRNA from 1 species
CUUCCAAAAUGUCCGUAUGCGGCUGUCUUCAAGAACCUAUUGCCACCCCUCUUGAGAUCCAGGUUGAUGGUCAUCAUUCCAGGCCUAAAGUCAAAGUUCUCCUUCACAAUCUUAAGGAUCUCCUUGUCAGGAAUUUUUCCAGUGCCAUAGGUGUCCACAAAGACAGACAAAGGCUCGGGUACACCAAUAGCAUAGGAGACUUGCACAAUGCACCUACGAGCAAGACCAUUUGCUACGAUGCUCUUGGCAGCCUGCCUAACAAUGUAAGCACCACUUCUAUCCACCUUAGUUGG